rnacentral:lncRNA from 1 species
AAUACAAGAAAUGCCGAUGGAUGGUUCUACGAAUAGUCUCUUCUGGAUCUAGAUUUAGCGAAACACUCGUUAUGUGUUUUGGCUAUCCCAGUAAGCACCAUUUUUCCAUUUUUUUUGUUUUGAAGGAGGAGACUCCCAGGAGAGCUUAGCUAAGCGCAUACUAAUUAGCAAUCAACCAAACCAAAGAAUACAUCAUCAUACUGUUAAAAAAAAGAAAGAAUUCAUCCUUGUUGGAGAAAGAGUCUAUGGUUUCAAAAGGAGAAAUAGCUUCACAAUGAGCUGGUGACCACCAAUCAAUAUAUACCAUUCAUAACUACCAAUGUAAUUCGUCAUAUUUGUUGGCACUCCAUUAGUGUAUUAUAUUUUCAUUACCUGUCAGUUCUAACAGUACUAUAAUUCCACAUA